GAGUUUGAUCGUGGCUCAGAUUGAACGCUGGCGGCAUGCCUUACACAUGCAAGUCGAACGGCAGCACGGGAGCUUGCUCCUGGUGGCGAGUGGCGAACGGGUGAGUAAUGCAUCGGAACGUAUCCUGGAGUGGGGGAUAACGUAGCGAAAGUUACGCUAAUACCGCAUAUUCUGUGAGCAGGAAAGCGGGGGACCUUCGGGCCUCGCGCUCUUGGAGCGGCCGAUGUCGGAUUAGCUAGUUGGUGAGGUAAAGGCUCACCAAGGCGACGAUCCGUAGCAGGUCUGAGAGGAUGAUCUGCCACACUGGAACUGAGACACGGUCCAGACUCCUACGGGAGGCAGCAGUGGGGAAUUUUGGACAAUGGGGGCAACCCUGAUCCAGCCAUGCCGCGUGAGUGAAGAAGGCCUUCGGUG
rnacentral:rRNA from 1 species